GGAAAAAACUCUGCUCAGUUCGGAUUGCAGUCUGCAACUCGACUGCAUGAAGCCGGAAUCGCUAGUAAUGGCGUAUCAGAUCGACGCCGUGAAUACGUUCCCGGGCCUUGUACACACCGCCCGUCACAUCACGAAAGUGAGUUGUACUAGAAGUCGCCGCGCAAACCGCAAGGAUGCAAGCGCCCAAGGUAUGACUCAUGAUUGGGGUGAAGUCGUAACAAGGUAGCCGUAGGAGAACCUGCGGCUGGAUCACCUCCUUUCUAAAGA
rnacentral:rRNA from 1 species